AGACCAAGAGCAGAGAAAGACACUCACUCCAGCUCAACUUUAAGUUACUUUUAAGCGCCCCAAGUCAGAUUUUUUUGUCAAACCACCCUCAGAAGAAGACAAAAUACCUGACAGUACAGAGAGUGUUUAAGUUGAGUGUUUAAAUCAACAGUACACAAAGAUGGCGCAGACAGACUGUUGUCGAGUUUCCAGGGCCGUUUUUUAUUCCCAGUCCGUCCCUGGUCAUGAAGUGAAUAACAUCAGCUGUAUGUGAAGACUGAGAUCUGGAUGAUGAUGUUGAUUGGGUGGAGCAGGACGCCAUCCAUCUUUUUGAUCUGCUAAUAACUGGAAUCCAUCACUGCUCGCCGCUCUCCUCGUCCUCUCUCCGGAGUCCACAGGUUUUUAGGAGAACCGACCCAGGAAUGUAGGACAUCGGGAAGUGCUCUGUUAUCUGUCAGCAGAGGUUUGGAGCGGUCAUACAGCACACAUCUCUACACGCGUGUGAGGAUCAUGUGUCAGAUGAGCUCCUCUGAGUUAUGGCCAAUAAAUGACUUUAUGAUUCA